GGAGAGGAAGAGACAGACAAAGACAUCAUUUCUCUCCUAGCUCUUCUUAUAAGGGCACUAAUCCCAUUCACGAGGCUCCAUCCUUGUGACCUAGUCCCCUCCCAGAGACCCCGCCUACUAACACCAUCACAUUGGGGGUUUAGGCUUCAACAUCACAAUUUAGGAGGACACAGGCUAUUGCACAUGCUGUAGCUACUGUGAGAGUUUAUCAGCUAUUCUCACUGGACAACUUGCAAAACCAGGGCACUUGGAGACUCAUAGUUGGGUUUAUGAUAAAAAGGCUGACUUGAGACUCUUGGCCCUGAUUAGGGUGAAAGAGCAGAUCACUCCUGCAGCCUGGGAAUCGCUCACUGCUGAGAGCACACGUUGUCAUGGGGCCACGGAGGACAUCGUGAAGGUGACACAUGACCUUGGACAGAGAAGCCAGGAGAUAGUAGGCUCUGUGAGGGUGAGAGGGAGUGCCUUCGCUCCAACCAGUCUUGCUGGAGGAUGGAUGGAGUUUCUCAGUCUCCUGUAAAGCCGUGGGGUGUAGGGCACCAGAGUGUGCACAGACAGAUUCAUACCCUACAGAGGCCGAUGGAACAUCAGCUCCAAGCCAGAUACCUGCACUUUUUAUUUGACUUUGAGUUUUCCCUGGUUGUGCCAGUCAAUGAGACCCCUUCUUCCCAUAACUGAGGAUCCUGGGAACCAGAAUGAACAACCCCAAGGUUCCUUAGGGAAUAUGGAGUUGGAACGGAGGGCUACGAGAUCUGAAAGAGAUCCUACCACACCAAAGGUCUCAGACAUUUCUGUUCCUUUGGACAUUUGUGCCACGUGGGACAGGAUGCAGUCAUGGUAGAGUGACGGGCUUUUCCCAGCUCUGCCCUUCAGCUGGUCGGAAACCAUGGCCAUGGAAAGCCUCCUUUUCGCUUGAUACAGACCCUCAAGCCAAACAGAUGGAGACUAUCACUCAAGGACGGGGGCCAGGGAUGUGCUGUCCAGCUGCUCAGUUACAUGGAUGUCUCACCGCUUGGUCUGGAAGAGACUCCGGGAGCACAGAUGUGUGGACAGCUCUCCUGUCAGUUUGGCACUGCUGAAAAGUCAAUUCCUGAUGGAGAGAAAUCUCUAGACCUCAGAAGGCACGUGUCACUCGGGUUAGUUUUCUUUGUACUUUGCACAGGGCUACCCAUGAGUGGUUCCUUUAAUAUUUGGGUGUUUCCAAGGCUCGCUCCUUCCUCCCUCCCUCCCUCCCUCCCUCCCUCCCUCUUUCUCUCUCCCUCCCUCCCUUCCUUCCUUCCUUCCUUCCUUCCUUCCUUCCUUCCUUCCUUCCUUCCUUCCUUCCUUCCUUCCUUCCUUUCUCUCUCUCUCUCUCUCUCUCUCUCUCUCUCUCUCUCUCUCUCUCUCUCUUUCUCAGCAUUUUUAUUUAGUUUUGAGACAGCACCAGCUGGGAGGGGCAGAGAGAGAGGGGGACAGAAGAUCGAAGUUGGCUCUGUGCUGACAGCAGAGAGACAGAUGUGGGGCUUGAACUCACGAACUGAGCUGAAGUUAGACGCUGAACCAACUGUGUCACCCAGGUUCCCCACCCACUAUGUUUCCUGAGUAAAGGGAGGAAGGGGAUGACACUGGACUGGGUAGGGCUUUAGCAGUUGGAAUCUUUUGUUCAAACAGAAUAAGGAAGAUUUCACUUCUGAUACCCAGCCACAAGGCAAAUGCAAAAUACUCUACAAGUCAGAAGAUUUGGGGCUUAGUGCCUGUAUCUGAGACUGACCUAUGUGCUAAUCCCCUCAAAAGCUGUCACUCUGAAAUUCUCUUUGAAAGUCAGGUGACUUGUUUUAUACUCAGCAGACAAGAACCUUGGACACCGUGGUCAUCCAGACCUCUCAGCAGAAAAGCGUAUACUCUUUGUAGUUCUCCGGUUCUUCUUCCCAUCUCUUUGUAAUUCUACAUUGAUCGUCUGGGAUGUGGAAACUGAAAGAACCUCAGAUCGUGCCACAGUGCUGUGUAUCCUGAGAAGUCUCUGGAGAAAAUUCAUACCCUUCUUUAUUUGCUACAGACACUGGCCAAGAUAAAGUGAUCCCAGAAACACAUGGAAUGCAUUGACAAGUGUAGACUUGCUCUUAAAUAUCUGUGAUUAUCUGUGCAUCCAGAAACUGAGUCUAUGGAACCUGUGUUACUAGUGCUGAAAUCAAUCAUAAAAAGAACAUCUUUUUCUAUUAAAAUCAAAGAUGCCUAUCAUGGAACUCAGAGAAAAUAGUAUUUAUUAUGAAAGUAAAUGUCACAUCCAAAGCCACAAUUGAUAUCAAGUUCCUUCCCCACCCCCAAGAUCCUUCAUAGAAGAAUGGAGGGAAUAGAUUUCAUAGGCACUGGAACUGCCCUUUUAAAACAGGCAUUUUAAAAAAUUAUUUUAGGGGCAGUAAAACAGAAGAGGAGCCAACCUCUGAUCUCUCUGAAUCUCAGCUGUAUCACCUGUGAAGAAGGACUAAUAAAAUUCUGUCACACUGUUUCUAAGCUUCUACU
ensembl:lncRNA